UACGUAGGGGGCAAGCGUUGUCCGGAAUUAUUGGGCGUAAAGAGCGUGUAGGCGGCCAGGUAGGUCCGUUGUGAAAACUAGAGGCUCAACCUCGAGACGUCGGUGGAAACCGUUUGGCUAGAGUCCGGAAGAGGAGAGUGGAAUUCCCGGUGUAGCGGUGAAAUGCGCAGAUAUCGGGAAGAACACCCGUGGCGAAGGCGGCUCUCUGGGACGGUACUGACGCUGAGACGCGAAAGCGUGGGGAGCGAACCGG
rnacentral:rRNA from 1 species